CCCGUCGGUGGUCGGGACGCCGCGUCCUCCGCUGCCGUCGGAGACAGCUCCGCCGCUGUGACCGGUGCGACGGGU
rnacentral:tRNA from 1 species